rnacentral:rRNA from 1 species
GAGGAAAGAAACUAACUAGGAUUCCCUUAGUAGCUGCGAGCGAACAGGGAAGAGCCCAGCACCGAAUCUUGUGGCCGGUAACGGUCACCGAGAAAUGUGGUGUUAGGGAGGAUCCGUUAUCUCGAGGUAAUACGGUGCGUCCAAGUCCUUCUUGAACGGGGCCACAGCCCAUAGAGGGUGCCAGGCCCGUAGCGACUGCCGUUUACAGCGAGAGGGUCUCUCCUCAGAGUCGGGUUGCUUGAGAGUGCAGCCCUAAGUGGGUGGUAAACUCCAUCUAAGGCUAAAUAUGACCACGAGACCGAUAGCGAACAAGUACCGUGAGGGAAAGUUGAAAAGCACUUUGAAGAGAGAGUUCAAGAGUACGUGAAACCGUUUAGGGGUAAACCUGAGAAACCCGAAAGGUCGAAAGGGGAAAUUCAUUCGCGUUUCGGCUGGCGGUGUAAGGCGUUAGAGUGACGGAUCGCUUCGUGCGAGACGCGCCUUUCGUCUGUCCUACCGUCGUCGAACGCGUGCACUUUUCUCCUAGUAGGACGUCGCGAUCCGUUGGGUGCGGGUAUAAGGCCUCCGGUGGAGUCCUCGAGUCGUUUCGUAUUCGAGAACCCGGUGUGUCCCUACCUGCUCGCUCGACGGUAUAAAGAUGGCGCGGAGCCGCUACCUGUUAGCGUUCGGCCCGCGGCAAGCAAGUUGGGUGUGUCGGCCUCCGGACCUAGUGCCGGUUCUGAMCCCCAGCUACUGUUGGCCGUGGUGUUCUCGGACAGACUCCGUACACGCCGAUCGGCGACGCUUUAGCUUGGGUACUUCAGAC